CGCGCAAACUCUCACUACCCCGCGCGUACCUCUUUUGCCAAUUAUUUUUGUUGUCUCGUCGUAAACAGGACCGCACAGAUCCAAAACGGUUGGUGACAUAAUUGUUGUUGUCGCGCUAUACGUUUUACGAUGGACGUUUAGCCGAAAUGAUUGCGGUCCGUCAGUGUGCGCGCCAUAACGGACAAAUCUAAUAUAAUUGUUCUUGUUGCGACGGCGGAAUGUAAAACGCAACGGAU